CUCUCGUUAGUCUAGUGGCUAGGAUUCCUGGUUUUCGACCAGGCUGCCCAGGUUCACUUCCUGAGCAGAGA
rnacentral:tRNA from 1 species